UACGUAGGGUGCAAGCGUUGUUCGGAAUCAUUGGGCGUAAAGCGCGUGUAGGUGGUUAAUUAAGUCGAGUGUGAAAUCCCUGGGCUCAACCGAGGAAGUGCAUUCGAAACUAAUUGGCUAGAAGAUGGUAGAGGAAGGUGGAAUUCCAAGUGUAGAGGUGAAAUGCGUAGAGAUCCGGAGGAACACCAGUGGCGAAGGCGACACGCUGGGCCGUACCUGACACUGAGGCGCGAUAGCAUGGGGAGCAAACAGG
rnacentral:rRNA from 1 species